rnacentral:rRNA from 1 species
GACGAACGCUGGCGGCGUGCUUAACACAUGCAAGUCGAACGGAAAGGCCCUGCUUUUGUGGGGUGCUCGAGUGGCGAACGGGUGAGUAACACGUGAGUAACCUGCCCUUGACUUUGGGAUAACUUCAGGAAACUGGGGCUAAUACCGGAUAGGAGCUCCUGCUGCAUGGUGGGGGUUGGAAAGUUUCGGCGGUUGGGGAUGGACUCGCGGCUUAUCAGCUUGUUGGUGGGGUAGUGGCUUACCAAGGCUUUGACGGGUAGCCGGCCUGAGAGGGUGACCGGCCACGUGGGGACUGAGAUACGGCCAAGACUCCGACGGGAGGCAGCAGUGGGGAAUAUUGCACAAUGGGCGGAAGCCUGAUGCAGCAACGCGGCGUGCGGGAUGACGGCCUUCGGGUUGUAACCCGCUUUCGCCUGUGACGAAGCGUGAGUGACGGUAAUGGGUAAAGAAGCACCGGCUAACUAC